rnacentral:rRNA from 1 species
GUGUACACAAGACAGAGCUCUCAUCAAGUUUCAUUAAACUUUACAAUUAAAUCCACCUUCAAAGAUAAUUUCAAUAUCUUAUCCGUUUUAAUCUAAUAAAUGUAACCCACCUCUAUCUUUUAUAUAAGCUGCACCUUUACUUGAAGUAUGUGAUUUUUUCAUGAAUGAAAGUUUUCUAAAGAAACUAACUGACAACAGCGGUAUACAAACUGGAUUCUAAUAAAAGUAAAGAAAUUCGUGGUUCAUCGUUUACAGGGCAGGUUCCUCUAAAUGGCUAUCUUGCCGCCAAAUCCGUUAAAUUUCAUAUUUAUUACUAUUCCAAAAUUAUUUAAUUAUAAGUA